UAAAAAUUUAUCAGUUAUAAUAUGCAUCAAUAAACUAAGUCAGUAUAGACAUUGUUUAAAAUUAUAUUAUAAAAAAAAUUAAGCCCUUUUUUCACUUUUUCUAUAAUAUAUCAAUUUAAAUUGGGUAAAAAAAAUAUAUAUAUCAAUUUUGAAAAGAAAUAGUCAUGUGCAUGCACUUUUAUUCUGAUGAAUUGCCAUAAGGAAGACCAAUCCCGGGGUAGGUACAAAACCAAAUAUGCCAUCACCUUCAAGCUCAUUGAAUAUUCAAAGAAACAACAAACUAUUUAUACUUUUAUAAAAUCCAAUAAUUACAUCAAAGUGAAAGUGAUUGAAAAAUCACCAGAUUCAGCUGUUGGUAGAGAUCUUAUCACAGAAGAACUUUAUUGGUCAACAAGAAAUUUUUACUCAGAACAUAACAAGGAUAACUUAUAUUGUUCAACAAUUAAACGUUCAGAUAAAAAAAACUAUCACCUCUUCAGAAAUAUAUAAAUCAAGAAAAAAAUUACACCCCAUUUCAAG